rnacentral:rRNA from 1 species
UACGUAGGGUGCGAGCGUUAAUCGGAAUUACUGGGCGUAAAGCGUGCGCAGGCGGUGAUGUAAGACAGUUGUGAAAUCCCCGGGCUCAACCUGGGAACUGCAUCUGUGACUGCAUUGCUGGAGUGCGGCAGAGGGGGAUGGAAUUCCUGGUGUAGCAGUGAAAUGCGUAGAUAUCAGGAGGAAUACCGAUGGCGAAGGCAGGGUCUCUGGGCUGACACUGACGCUCAUGCACGAAAGCGUGGGGAGCAACAGG